rnacentral:rRNA from 1 species
UACGUAGGGGGCCAGCGUUGCUCGGAAUUACUGGGCGUAAAGGGUUCGUAGGUGGUGCGGCAAGUUGGGAGUGAAAUCUCUGGGCUUAACCCAGAGGCUGCUUUCAAAACUGCCGCGCUCGAGUGCGAGAGAGGUCAGUGGAAUUGCAGGUGUAGCGGUGAAAUGCGUAGAUAUCUGCAGGAACACCCGUGGCGAAGGCGGCUGACUGGAUCGCAACUGACACUGAGGAACGAAAGCUAGGGGAGCAAACAGG